GCGCAUGCUCUGUUUUGUUUUCUGCGCGUGCUCUGUUUUGUUUUCUGCGCAUGCUCUGUUCGCAAGGAAUCCUGGUCUUUUGAGAAGUUCUUCUAAACAUGGACAAACGCAAGACGACGCCACACUUUUGGAGGGAGGAGGAGACUAAUUAUUUUAUAAAUUUAAUGAGGGAUAUGAACAUUAUGGCAUUUAUAGACGGUAGAAAGUACCGGGAUAGCGAAAUUUAUAUGAAGGUGAGCCAAAAAUUGCGCGAAGCUGGAUUCAUACGAACGCCAGACCAGAUCAAGCACCGCUGGAAGAUGCUGAAAAAGGCGUACUACAGAGCCAAGAAAAACAACGGUACCAGCGGGUCCGACCCAUCUACCUUCCCCCAAUUUGACAUGAUGGAUGAGAUUUUGGGGCAAAGACCCAUUACUACUGCCCAAAACAGUGGGGUUGAUGUCGGCUUUGAAGACCAACCUGAUGAAGGGGUCCAAGGUAAGUUAACUAUGAAUGUUAAUGUAAUGUUUUUAUUCCUUCGAUGUAAACACACUGCAAACACACCGUAAGAGCUUGUGCCCCUUAUCAGCCAGGUGCUUUUUGUGUCGGUUAGGCACACUUUAACACUCCCGACACUAGUUUAGUCUUGCAGAAAACGUUUCUACAGCCGUUAAACCGUUGACAGGAGCGCUGAUGUUUACAAGUUCUCGGCGAAAACUAUAUAUACUUUGGAGUAUAACGGCGCUCACAAACAUAGGUCCAUACACUACCGUUUACCUCGCCAGGGACUGAAUGAAAAUGAGCCUUUUGGCUCAUUCCGGCAUGUUUACAGUUCAAUGUUAAUUAAUAUGCACUAUCCCUGAUAAAUGAACAAAUAAAUAAAAUAAAUGUCAGUAAGUAGCGUAACAGUGUUCUGACUUUUGCCUAAUUUUGCUAUUUUGCAGAGGGUGAUGUGGACCUUGGAGAGCCAGCCACCCCUGUGUCUGUAGCAAGCAACGUUUCAAGUGAUGAUGAUGUUGUGGAUGAUAACGAAGAAAAUGGAGCAAGUGGACCCUCUAGACGGCCAUUCAAUGCCACCGCGCCACCUCAGUCGACACAGCCAUCAAAUACCACUGCGGCUACUCUGGGUGGGUCAAGUCGCAGGUCCAGGCCCCGUGGGACUGCUUCACUUUCUCAACACCAAGAAUUCAUGGAGAGAAUGCAGCACACACAGAAUCAAUGGAUUGAGCAGCAGAGGCAGUUGAGCCACGCCAGGGAUGAGGCACUCAUGUGUCGACUGAUUACUGAAACUACCCGCUCAACGGGAAUGUUAGUCAGCCAAUUAAUAACAGGGUUAGGUACCCUAUUUCAGCAGCCAUCUCAGCCCCAGCCCUAUACCCCAUACAACAACACGUAUGAAAAUUAUGGGCAUCUCCCUCCCCCUCCCCCCCCUCCCCAUCGUAACCCAAACACACUUCAGUCUGAAGGUGAAGCUCAUGGUGGUGACCAAGGUUUGAGGAGAUACUACCAACCCCUGUAA